GCCGGGCGUGGGGACACACGCCUGUAAUCCCAGCUACUCGGGAGGCUGAGGCAGGAGAAUUGCUUGAGCCCGGGAGGCGGAGUUUGCAGUGUGCCACGAUCAUGCCACUGCACUCCAGCCUGGCCAACAGAGCAAGACUCUGUCUUAA
rnacentral:SRP_RNA from 1 species